rnacentral:rRNA from 1 species
UUUUGGACAAUGGGGGCAACCCUGAUCCAGCAAUGCCGCGUGAGUGAAGAAGGCCUUCGGGUUGUAAAGCACUUUCACUCAGGAGGAAAGGUUAGUAGUUAAUACCUGCUAGCUGUGACGUUACUGACAGAAGAAGCACCGGCUAACUCCGUGCCAGCAGCCGCGGUAAUACGGAGGGUGCGAGCGUUAACCGGAAUUACUGGGCGUAAAGCGUACGCAGGCGGUUUGUUAAGCGAGAUGUGAAAGCCCCGGGCUCAACCUGGGAACUGCAUUUCGAACUGGCAAACUAGAGUGUGAUAGAGGGUGGUAGAAUUUCAGGUGUAGCGGUGAAAUGCGUAGAGAUCUGAAGGAAUACCGAUGGCGAAGGCAGCCACCUGGGUCAACACUGACGCUCAUUACGAGG